rnacentral:lncRNA from 1 species
GUAACUGAACUUUCCCCUUGGCCAGGGCCAUCUUGUCUGCUCCUUACUGUACAUGUGGCUGGCAGAGAAGGGAAGGUGGAGCCGCUAUUUUGAACAUGAUUGGCACAACUGCCAGCAUCUAUAUCUGCAGCUUGAUUUUACAGGCUGCUCUUUGUUAGAAAGGAACAUGAUUUGGGGCUACUUUUCAUUAAAAGGAAAACUGUACCGAAGACUUCCAUACCCUCACUAUCUGUGGAAUCCCUGGAAAGAAAUGAAGCUUCACACUCAGAAUAUCACAUUUAGUGAUUUCAGGAGACCAGCAGAAUAGGAAUUAAGCUGGAACUCCUAUACAGUUUAUUUUCUAGGUUUGGGACCUCUGCGUACCUCCUGUGGCUUUAUGGUACCUGGUAUUGUUUCCCCAGACCAUGAGUCUCCAGUGUUGGAGUGCCCACUUCAGAAGUCUGUGUGUUUUGCUUCAUCCUGAGGUAAACACUGCUUAGUAUGUGCAUCCUGGUGGUGGUUGUGAUGGUGGGGACUAGCUCAGCCAUUCUCCCUGUGUGGCUACUGACAGGUAAAAGGAAAUCAGUGUAAGUAACUAGAUUGGGGAGUUAAUGAUGAUAUCCACUUGGACAUACUGUGUGGAGCCUGUUGGGAAUCCAGGUGACAAAUCCAGCCAGAAUAUAAAAAUACAGAUGUAUAGCUCUAGCAAGACACACACACACACACACAAACAGAGAGAGAGAGAGAGAGAGAGAGAGAGAGAGAGAGAGUGUAGAGAUGUACUGGAAGUCAUCAGCAUGAAGGAUAUGUAUGAUAUCCCGUAGAGAAAAAAUUCCAAACAAAAAAGAAAACACUAAAAUGAACAGAAAGUAAGGAAAUGCAUCCUUUUGGAAAAUGAAGAAAUCAGAAAAAUGUGGUAAGCAAUGUGGAAUUAGAGAAAGAAUUAAAAAAUUUAAGAGAGCUAGAGAAACUAGAGAAGACAUAAGUGCUCACAAUGACAACUCUAUGUGGAUGACAUCUUACCCUUUAAAAUAUUAGGUAAACACCACAUACAUAAAAUAUAGUAAUAUUUAACUUUUCUCUUCAAAAAUCUUAACAUUCUUCCUUUCCUGUUUUUGUUGUUCUUAAAAGAUUUGUUUCUCCUACAUUUUGACAUAAAUUUAAUACUUCAUGUCUAAAUAAGGGGUCCCAUAGAAAGUAGAAACCUGUGCAUAAAAAUUGUCACUGAAGUGUGCUUUCAUCACAGUACAGAAGAUUCUAAAUAUUGUAAAUGUUUAGUAGAUACUAUAUAUAUGUAGUAUAUAUACACUAUAUAUAGUAUUGUAUAUAUAUAGUAUAGUGUAUAUAUAGUGUAUAUAUAUGUGUGUAUAUGUAUAUACACAUACACACACACACACACACAUAUAUAUAUAGACACAAAGGCAUCAGAGACUUAGAGUAAAAACCUGAUGCAGAAAAAUGAGUGGAAGAUAGAGAUAGUCAUGAAAAGGCAAGAAGAAAUGUUAAAGUCAGAGAGAAUAAGAGAGAAAGGGGAAGGAAGGUGAAAUCAAGGUGAGUAUUGAAGAUGAUACAAAUGUGGAGAUCAAAACAAAACAAAAAAAACCUGAUCUGUGGGCUGAAAAGCCUCAUAGAUGAAAUAAACAAUUUAAGAUUUUUUUCUUAAAAGUUAGAUAUAUUCAUUUUUUCUGAGUUAUGAAACAUUUGAUUUUCUGUGAAAGACGGUUCUCUCACUCUCUGUUUUUCUGGCUCACAGUUUCUUUCUGAACCUAAAAUUCCAUCACAAUUUUAAAAGCAAAACAAAAACUGUUCAAUAAUAUUAUUUUUCUUUUGUUUAUUUGUGAGGAUUGCUUAGUCACCUAAUUCAAUCAUACGCAAACUUAACUAUAAUGUUGGCAGAUUAAUUUCAAAAUCCAGCUGAAAGGCAGAAAUUUUUGUGAUACAGUCAGCAACACUUCUUUCUCCUGCACUAUUUCACUGACAUCGCAGUGCAUUGACCAAGCCACCUUGAUGGCAGUCUAUUUUUAGGGUCCUCUCCUUACACAGCCAGACCCUAAGCCAUGGCUCACCAUCAGCGAAACAGACUGGGUGAUUCAGGCUCCACUCUUUCCUCCUUCUAGGUCAGUCCCUUCCCAGGGGUUUAGUAUGAGCUACAGAGAAAUUCCCACCAAGAACAAAACUAAUUCUCACUAAAACUUUACGUCGUAAAAGGUUAAGAUAUUAACUCUUCCAGGAGGUGGUUCAAAGGCCGAAGACAUAAAUAAGUUGAAUUCACAUUUAUGAAAGGCACUCAGGGAUAUUUUGUUUAUGAGACCUUGCACUAUGAUCCUUUAACUCAGCUGAUAAUAACAGCUUCUUAUAGGCAAACAAAAGGCUUAUCCUUUUAGAAACAUCAUAAUACCAAAAGCCUUGAUUUUUUAGUGGGGAGCAGUGGUCAAGUUUUCCUGCCUCCAAAAGGAAUAGAACUUGGUCCUGAAAUGUAGCACUCAGCCCCAUUAAAAUGCCUUCUAGGAAAAAUCCGACUUGCCUCCUCUCAUCUUGCUGAAUUUAUCUUCUCUCUACUCAUCUGCAUUAUCAAUUCAGCUGGAUUUCCAUCACCUUUGAUAUAUCUUUUUUUUUUUUUUUUUU